GGGGGUACAUUGAUAAAAGGUGGGGUUAGUUAUGUGGUACAUUGAUAAAAGGUGGGGUUAGUUAUGGGGUACAUUGAUAAAAGGUGGGGUUAAUUAUGGGGUACAUUAAUAAAAGGUAAGGUUAGUUAGUAGGUACAUUGAUAAAAGGUAGGCUUGGUUAGUGGGUACAUUGAUAAAAGGUGGGGUUAGUUAAGGGAUACAUUGAUAAAAGGUAGGGUUAGUUAGGGGGUACAUUGAUAAAAGGUGGGGUUAGUUAUUGGGUACAUUGAUAAAAAGUGGGGUUAGUUAUGGGGUACACUGAUAAAAGGUGGGGUUAGUUAGGGGUUACAUUGAUAAAAG